UCCUCCCUCUUUCUUCGUGCUUAACACAUGCAAGUCGAACGGAAAGGCCCUGCUUUUGUGGGGUGCUCGAGUGGCGAACGGGUGAGUAACACGUGAGUAACCUGCCCUUGACUUUGGGAUAACUUCAGGAAACUGGGGCUAAUACCGGAUAGGAGCUCCUGCUGCAUGGUGGGGGUUGGAAAGUUUCGGCGGUUGGGGAUGGACUCGCGGCUUAUCAGCUUGUUGGUGGGGUAGUGGCUUACCAAGGCUUUGACGGGUAGCCGGCCUGAGAGGGUGACCGGCCACAUUGGGACUGAGAUACGGCCCAGACUCCUACGGGAGGCAGCAGUGGGGAAUAUUGCACAAUGGGCGGAGGCCUGAUGCAGCAACGCCGCGUGCGGGAUGACGGCCUUCGGGUUGUAAACCGCUUUCGCCUGUGACGAAGCGUGAGUGACGGUAAUGGGUAAAGAAGCACCGGCUAACUACGUG
rnacentral:rRNA from 1 species